GUGCUCAGUGAGACAUGUGGUGAGGUCAUGUGACAUGCUGGAGCUGUAUGUAACUGAUGUAUCUAGUUCAGUGCCCUUUGGGCACUACCAUGACACAACGAUAUAGUGGUCUGGAUUACUUUAGUUGCAAACUCUGCAUACAGGACUAGAGAAGGAGCAGUCCAAACUCCUAUGCUGACCUUCUUCCACACCUCAACAGUGAAAAAUAGGGAGUGUCCCCUGUGUCCUGUGUUACCCAGCGGUUGACUGAACAUGCCCUGCAGUCUGCUGACCUUUCAACCUGCCUGUCACCUUGAUGGCUGCUGUUAUCUAGAGCUUUAUUUUGCCAAGGUGGCCUUUUGUUCUCCCUGACCUUUAUUGAAAAUAUAAAAUCUGGUCAAUUACAAGUAUAAACAGGCUAAGGUUCUACUAUAUGAAGGUAAUAAAAUAACGGAAAUGAACACAAACAGUUAUUAUCUAAAGUUAGCCCACACAGACCGGAGUAAAGUUGUCAUCAUUUGAUAUUCAACAGACAUUUGGAAAUAAAGAUCAGCUUGUUAAAACAUAGCUAAAAAUAUACACUAUACUGUGUGGUCACCAAUUUUAUUAUGACACUGCAAAGUAGCUUGUGCUGCAACAGCGUGUCUUCAGUUGAAACUGGAUACCACCUAUGGUAUUGAUCAUAAUACAGACGUGCUCAGAAUAUUUCAUUUGUUUCUGAAAAUGCUCUGUCUUAAAUACCUUACAGCAAAAUGUGUCAUGCAAGUAGUCCAUUGUGUGUGUGUGUGCACAUGAGCAUAUGGAGGAGUACAAAAAUACAACAAAUGAUUUCCUUUUAAUUACUGCAGUUAAAGGUGCAAUAAUCGAUUUUGUUUUUUUUUUUUGGUCUUGUUAGUCUGAGUAUUUAUUGUAUUCAACCUUCUCAGCUUCACAGGCUCACUAUCAUUUACGAGAGCAUAACCAAGAGAUGAAACCAGAACAAACCAAGAGAUGAUGUGUCAUCAGAGAAAGAGAAUGCAACGUUAGAGACAUUUUAACUAAUUUGUACAGAGCUAUUACAGUAAAAAUGACAUCACAUACCAGCCUGUACACAACUGGCCCCUAGCACUUUGAUUUAACUCUUGAAAUAGAAAAUGGAUUGAUAUAAAUGUUAUAGAAAUGUCAUUCAGAAUAAGAUGCUUGUAAGAGCUCUGCUAAAAGUAUUUAGAACCCUUAC